rnacentral:rRNA from 1 species
AUUGAACGCUGGCGGCAUGCUUUACACAUGCAAGUCGAACGGCAGCACGGGUGCUUGCACCUGGUGGCGAGUGGCGGACGGGUGAGUAAUACAUCGGAACGUGUCCUGAAGUGGGGGAUAACGCAUCGAAAGAUGUGCUAAUACCGCAUAUACUCUGAGGAGUAAAGUAGGGGAUCGAAAGACCUUAUGCUUUUGGAGCGGCCGAUGUCUGAUUAGCUAGUUGGUGGGGUAAUUGCCCACCAAGGCGACGAUCAGUAGUUGGUCUGAGAGGACGACCAGCCACACUGGGACUGAGACACGGCCCAGACUCCUACGGGAGGCAGCAGUGGGGAAUUUUGGACAAUGGGCGCAAGCCUGAUCCAGCAAUGCCGCGUGAGUGAAGAAGGCC